GCGUGCGCAGGUCUGCCGGCGGGAAGCCGUGGGUGCGGGAGGAGCUUAGGCUUCUUCAGUCCCCGGCCCGCCCUGCAGCGAGGAAGCCCGUAGGUGGCCGUGGCGCCCGGGCCCCUAAGGCGCCCUCGCUUACUGGUGCGCCCCCUUCCCACGCUCUCUCGGAGCACACCCCACCUUCCUGCUAUCUGUGCCUCCCCAGCCUCAGCCAAAAGGCUGAAGGACUGGGCCGCGCUUCGCUUCCCACACCUGUGUGCUGGCUGUCCGAGCGCUUUCCAGAAACUCUCCUCUGUGAUGCAAACCCCACAUUUUACAGGUGAAGGAGCCAAGACCCAGAGAGCUUCAGGAUCUGACCCUUGCCAAGCAGUAGUACAAAAAUACGAAUGAACAAGGGGGAAUGUGGCCCUAAAUGUUGUCAGCGACUGCAGACCCAGAAGAUGAUUGGCAACCCAACUUCCAGUCUUAGGUGACAAGUCUUCGGGCAUGGUCAGCAAAGUACUUAAAGGGUCCCUCUCCUUGACUGACUGACUUUAACUGUCUUCUCAGCCUCACAGUUUGGCUGCUCCAUCCUUUCCUCUUCUGCUCCGUCUUCCUCGACUUAGACGAUGGGGCACCUCUGGAUAUGUAAAUCCAACCCAGUU